GACGAACGCUGGCGGCAUGCCUAAUACAUGCAAGUCGAACGCGACCAGCCGGUGCUUGCACUGGCGAAGUCGAGUGGCGAACGGGUGAGUAACGCGUGAGAAACCUACCCCUGGAGUUGGGGAAUAACUCGAAGAAAUUCGAGCUAAUACCGCAUACCUUCUUACCGUCGAAAUGGUGGUUUGAAGAAAAGAUUUAUCGCUCUGGGAGGGUCUCGCGGCCUAUCAGCUAGUUGGUGAGGUAACGGCUCACCAAGGCAUCGACGGGUUAGCUGGUCUGAGAGGACGAUCAGCCACACUGGAACUGAGACACGGUCCAGACUCCUACGGGAGGCAGCAGUUAGGGAAUCUUGCGCAAUGGGCGAAAGCCUGACGCAGCAAUGCCGCGUGCGGGACGAAGGCCCUAGGGUCGUAAACCGCUUUUCAGUUAGGGACGAAAAUGACGGUACCUGCAGAAG
rnacentral:rRNA from 1 species